CACACCAUCCUCAAGAUCCAUCCCUUCCACUUCUUUUCUCUAUUGCUUAUCCCCACAAGAAGAAACUGUCUUCUACCCCCUCCUUUCGAUCACCACUUGCAGACACAAGGGAAAAGCCAAACACACUCUCACACUUACUCCAUCUCCUCUGUAGCCGGUGAGCGGAGCUGCCGUUCCGGCUGACCGACGCCGUAAUUGAGAUUUCUAUUGAGAUCGGUGGUUUCAGCAUCUACAGCGGCAGGUUUUAUUGAGAUUUAACCGGUGGUUUCAGCCGCCGUUCCGGCUGACCGACGCCGUAAUUGCUGAUAAGAAUCGACGGCGACAGGUUUUGACGGUAAACAGCCGACGACUUUUAUUUAGAUUUCUCCAGUGGUUUCAGCGUCUACAGCGGCGGCGGUGCCUCGGUGGUGUACGGACAGUAGGCGAUGGUGUGGGGAUCUUCACGUCUGAGUCCAGUGGCGGAGGAAGUGUGUUUCUAGCUUCAUGAUGGUUCGGGUUUUGUUUCGGCUCGGGUCACUGUUCGGUUCACAUACGUUGAGAUAGUGAAGGCAUCACAUAAAUUUAGAGAAAAGAUGAUGACAAAACAAGCUUAGGAUGAAUAUGUAAUUUUAUUUUCUUUAUGUUUGUAGAUUUUAUAUAUUUUUUGUUCGUAAAUUUGUAUAAA